GACGAACGCGGCGGCGUGCCUAAUACAUGCAAGUAGAACGCUGAAGGAGGAGCUUGCUUCUCUGGAUGAGUUGCGAACGGGUGAGUAACGCGUAGGUAACCUGCCUGGUAGCGGGGGAUAACUAUUGGAAACGAUAGCUAAUACCGCAUAAUAGCAGUUGUUGCAUGACAACUGUUUGAAAGGUGCAAUUGCACCACUACCAGAUGGACCUGCGUUGUAUUAGCUAGUUGGUGGGGUAACGGCUCACCUAGGCGACGAUACAUAGCCGACCUGAGAGGGUGAUCGGCCACACUGGGACUGAGACACGGCCCAGACUCCUACGGGAGGCAGCAGUAGGGAAUCUUCGGCAAUGGACGGAAGUCUGACCGAGCAACGCCGCGUGAGUGAAGAAGGUUUUCGGAUCGUAAAGCUCUGUUGUAAGAGAAGAAACGAAGUGUGAGAAGUGGAAAAGUUUCAACAACUGGG
rnacentral:rRNA from 1 species